UGUCCAGACUCCUACGGGAGGCAGCAGUCGGGAAUAUUGCGCAAUGGAGGAAACUCUGACGCAGUGACGCCGCGUAUAGGAAGAAGGUUUUCGGAUUGUAAACUACUGUCAUUAGGGAAGAUAAAAGACUGUACCUAAGGAGGAAGCCCCGGCUAACUACGUGCCAGCAGCCGCGGUAAUACGUAGGGGGCGAGCGUUAUCCGGAUUUACUGGGUGUAAAGGGAGCGUAGACGGUUCUGCAAGUCUGAAGUGAAAGCCCGUGGCUUAACCGCGGAACGGCUUUGGAAACUGUGGAACUGGAGUGCUGGAGAGGCAAGCGGAAUUCCUAGUGUAGCGGUGAAAUGCGUAGAUAUUAGGAGGAACACCAGUGGCGAAGGCGGCUUGCUGGACAGUAACUGACGUUGAGGCUCGAAAGCGUGGGGAGCAAACAGGAUUAGAUACCCCGGUAC
rnacentral:rRNA from 1 species